GAUGAACGCUGGCGGCGUGCCUAAUACAUGCAAGUCGAGCGAACAGACGAGGAGCUUGCUCCUCUGACGUUAGCGGCGGACGGGUGAGUAACACGUGGAUAACCUACCUAUAAGACUGGGAUAACUUCGGGAAACCGGAGCUAAUACCGGAUAAUAUAUUGAACCGCAUGGUUCAAUAGUGAAAGACGGUUUUGCUGUCACUUAUAGAUGGAUCCGCGCCGCAUUAGCUAGUUGGUAAGGUAACGGCUUACCAAGGCAACGAUGCGUAGCCGACCUGAGAGGGUGAUCGGCCACACUGGAACUGAGACACGGUCCAGACUCCUACGGGAGGCAGCAGUAGGAAAUCUUCCGCAAUGGGCGAAAGCCUGACGGAGCAACGCCGCGUGAAUGAUGAAGGUCUUCGGAUCGUAAAACUCUGUUAUUAGGGAAGAACAAAUGUGUAAGUAACUAUGCACGUCUUGACGGUACCUAAUCAGAAAGCCACGGCUAACUACGUG
rnacentral:rRNA from 1 species